CAGUCGCCGCGGGAAUACGAAGGGUGCAAGCGUUACUCGGAAUUACUGGGCGUAAAGCGUGCGUAGGUGGUGGUUUAAGUCCGUUGUGAAAGCCCUGGGCUCAACCUGGGAAUUGCAGUGGAUACUGGGUCACUAGAGUGUGGUAGAGGAUAGUGGAAUUUCCGGUGUAGCAGUGAAAUGCGUAGAGAUCUGGAGGAAUACCGAUGGCGAAGGCAGCCAUCUGGCCUAAUACUGACGCUGAGGUACGAAAGCAUGGGGAGCAAACAGGAUUAGAUACCCCGGUAGUCCCUGUCUCUUAUAC
rnacentral:rRNA from 1 species